CCCCCCCCCCCCCCCCCCCAAAAAAAAAAGAAGAAAUUCUAGAGUAAAUAUUCCAUCAGCUGGUAAGCUAAUCACAGCCAUUUAGGGGAGCGCUAAUUAGUAACAUUUGCAGUUAACAUUGUUUGAGGAGGUAUAAAUUUCAUUUGUGGAGUUGCUGCUUGAUUUGGGGUGGAGAGGGGAGAAGAUCUGGAAGGCGUUAGACCCAGGAAAGGGACCGGCUUCCAAUGCCCCCUGGCUCUUCUGGAGCCCGGCCACUGCACCUAAAAAUGCCCCGAACUUUGUAGGGAGCGGUUUGUGAUCUCAGUGCUGAACAGAAAACAGAUGCUGUGCCGCUGGAUCUAUCACAUCAGCCCCGUCUCUGUGUUUUAGGGGUGGUAGGGUCGCUUUGAUGAGGACCCUGGGAGGUAAAAGCCUCCUGGAGACCCGGGGCAUUUAUUUCAGGCAGAAAUGUUUUCUGAAAGGCGCCCUGCGCUGGUGGAGCAGCGGGUGGUUACUUCUGAUAAGGAACCCGACGAGCUGAGGUUGCACCAUCCUCCUCUUGUAACUUGCCCCUCUUCCAGCCCCGUAUUCCUCUGCCCUUAGCAAAAGGGUCAGGGUUUCUCUUCUCACGUGCAGUUUUGUGGCUGGAGCACACCUCCUUCAGCACGCUCCUGGAUUUUCAGCUAGUUGUGAGUGCUCACAACCCCUUUAUUUUCAGCCUCGGUCAGCCGUACAGUUGCAUCUUUCCCUUCUCUGCUGCAAACCCCAAUUGCCCCCUCUGCCUUUGUCCUCCCAGGAGCAGCUCAGAGCAACUCCCUCAGCUGCAACUUCCUUCCCGAGAUGCCAAACCAGCACGUAGGACGAGGCAGCUCAUCUUUUGGUGUUGUGGAGGGGAAAGGAAUCAACAAGUUGCAACCACAUUUAUGGCGGUAGCCAAAAAUUCAGAGUAGCCUUUAAGGGCAUCGCUUGCUGUCAGAGAAGUCCUGGGUAGGUACGAGGGGAUUGCAGACAAAUUUGCUAUUGAGCCCCUGCAGGAAGUAAGUUAUCAGAUAGAUUUCCCAAUCAGAGCCUGUAAGUCCGAUAUCUCAGCGGUUUUUGUCUUAUACUCCACCCCAACACCAUUUUCAGCAGGGACGCAGCAUCCACCCUUGCCUGGUCCUUCCCUUCUUACCAUGGGGGACCAACACCGGGUGCCCUGGAACAGCAAUGGUCUCCGAAGUGAAAAUGGAUUUACCUGGAUGAGACACAGCAUAGCUGGGCUCUUUGUUACGGCAUUACUUCCCGUGGGACUUCAUAACCCAGUUUGUGAACACCUGGCCCAGCAUAAGAAGAGAACAUUUGGAUCUCCAAGAACUCUCACGCAGCAAAACUCCUUCUGCCAGCCCCUACGUGCACAGCACGUGAAAACCCCUCUGUUUCCCCCACUUUCCUUAACUCCAUACGAGGCUGGAGCCCCUGUGCUUUGGUCCUUUUAGAGGAGCUGGUUUGAAAGCUGGCGGGCAGGAUGGCUAUGAGCAAUGCAGUAUGUGCACGGCUGACCAAAAUUUAUCUCAUUCGUGGGGGCAAGCCAGCCCUCCUACACCAGCGCCGGUGCCAGAUCCCUCCCGUACAGCAUCCUGCUCUCCAGGUCUGCCAUCAGCCAGCGCUAACACUUCCUAUUACAUCCCCUGUGGCAGCUCUCAUCUUCUUGCAUCGCUCUCCUUGGAUGUCAGCGAUAUGCUUGGCAUGUUGUGCUCGUGUCGUGUUGGAGAAGAACCACUCGGCUGCCGCAGCCAUUUUGUCACUGAAUCGUACCGGAGCAGCCUCAGAGCUCCUCUCCAGCCAGCACUGCGUGUUUAGCAAAAGGAGAGCAAACCCCUGCCUCUGCAUCACUGCUUCACUGUUAACCCAUGUUAGAUUUGGUCAAAAUUUGCUAAGGUUUUAGAGAUUUUAACACAGCCGUGUAACAAGCUCUCUGUCUUGAAUUUUGAAAAGAUAAAUUAAAAGUCAAAGUCCUUAUCUGUUUAACGCCACGGGUGAUUUGCCUUUGCAUUCCAGGCUUGUAAAAUAUUCCAACUGCAUUUUCCCUCGUGUUUCUGUACAACCAUGAGGUCUAGGAGUGUACUGACAUGAUGUAACACAGAAAAAGGAGAGCUGAGAUUCCUCGGUGAUAGCAGGAAUCCGGGACCUGGGGACUUGAGGAAAGCGUCAAAUUGCCUGAACCCUUAAAACAUAAGAGCUGUCUUCAGUGAUCUCAGACCUGAAAACUCUAAAGCCAACAGAAAAACAAAGCAAGUUCGGCACUCAACAGGUUUCUUACAGAUUUAGCACGGGGGAUGAUCUCACUCUAGGCAUCACAUCCAGAAGAGGCCAAGCCUUGCCUGCAGAGCAGCCUGUCCUACCUAACCAGGCACGAGCGGCAACUGAGGGCUUUUCUAGACUUGGGGCAUUCAGAACACCUUAGCCUUGUGUGGAUUCUCUGGUGUCUAGCAAGGGUAGGGCUCCAGCAGAGCCUUUCCCUCCCUAGGAAUGGUAAAAGGGUCUCCUCGUUUUCUAGACAGGGAGAAAGUUGGUAUCAGCUACUCGGAGAUAACAUGCCAUCGCCUGACUCCUUCCUGAGGCCAUUUGGAGCCUCCGCCCUCCCACACAAUGGGGUUUAUCUCAGAGGUUGUUCCUGCCCCUCCCUCUGUCUACACCUUCAGGUAUCCCAUUAGGGAGGCUUUGAUACCCGAACCCAGUAGGAAAGCAUCCAGGUCGCUCAACCUCCACGCUUGCAGCGAGCCAAGCACAACCUCAGCGCCGUGCCCAGAUCCAAGGCAGCGUGUGUCCUGCCUGCCUGGAGGCAUUCGCUUUCCCCAAAGUGCAAAGCUCUGGAGAAAACCAUUGUUUGUUCUUCUGCAUGCACCUGAAAUGGUGCGAUUUCCUUUACGUGCCAGCAAACCUUCCCCCUGUCCUCGUUCACUGCUAGCUUCCUAGAAUACGAGAGGAUAAUAUUCUCCGCAGGAUUUGCCCCCUGCUUCUCUUCCCCUGCAUAAAACGGGUAUAAUAACACCCUACCUUACAGGGCUUUCUGAAGGCUUCAAUUAAACAAACUGCUCUUAGAUUUGUGUAAGAGGAAAAUUAAAUCAACAUCCUAUUGUAAAGCUGGAGGUACUGCAUGCAUAUUUCUCUGAGUAUAUUCAGACUGUGUGAACGUGUGUAAAUACAUACCAACCUUCACAACAAGGGUUGUCUCAGUAGGGAAGAAGUCACUUGAAGUUAAGGAAAAGCUAGAUUUAGUUUUGCAUGCAACCUUGAUCGACCCUUGGCAUAGAAUAUGGAAAAAACACACAGCUGUGUAAUUAAAGGCUGCAGCGCGUCUGUCUGUCUAGGUGGUGCCUGGUGUAUCUGCUGCCCUGGUGGGGGGCACCCAGCACAGUGCCUUGCGCUAGGUCCCGUGGAUAAAAUAGUGGUCUGGGGGGGAGAUCAGUCAAAUUUUCCUUCCAGAUGAAGAAAGCCACAUCCAGUGCCCCCUGGAGGAGGGUGAUGGGGUACCUCUCCACUUCCAGCGGUACGGCAGAUCCCCUGGUGUGCCCCUUGCACACCCCCAUAGUGUGAGCCUGGCCUCCAUGACCUGGGACUGGACUGCAAGCAGCAACUUUCCAUUUCACAUGAACUGAAAGAAAGUUUUACAGGAUGAAGGACCGGCCCUAAUCCCCACAAAACUCCCCAGACCCCAAAUAAAAUGAAAACACGAGAGCUACAAGAGUCCUUUGGACUACAAGGCAUUAAAAAAACCUGAAUGCAGCAGCCAUGCCAGCUCUCCUCUCCACCCCAAAAUCAAGCUGCUGUUCACCCUGGAAGACUCCAGGUUGCUUACUGCAUACAAGGGAGCUUGGUUGAGAGCAGCAGGGUCCAAAUCUCACUUGGAUGAUCUUCCUUCCCAGAAGCAGCCACGGACCAACAGGCUGGCAGCUCCAGGCUGGUGCCGACACAUUAGUGCUUUCUAGCGAACUCUGCCAUCAAUGCCUUCCAGCCACAACCAGUUCCCGCUCAUCCAACUGUUGUCACACGUGAGUGGGGCUCAAAGACCGUAUUUCCAGAGUAAAAACCUCUGGUGUGACACCCCCAGUUAUACCACUGCACCUUUGGGCAGGAGGCAGAAGCAGAGGCACACACAGCCGACCUCUUGCUUCUCCCUGCGUGUGCUCCAGCUUGCGCGCUCCGUAACAGAGGUCGCUGUAUCCCAUUUAGCUCGAAUUAGCCCUCGCUGUUGCCCACACAGGUAAUUUCCUCCAGUGUCCCACUUUCUCUGCAAUACAAGCUCCCAUUCAGCAAGGCAUUUAAGCACAGGAACUUACUGCCUUCAGCAAGAGUCGAGCACAAACUCCAGAGCUUUGCUGAUUAAGCACAGAGUUGACAAUUCCUUUUCCUCUCGAGCACCUCACUUCACAGGAGACUCCUCCAAAAAAAAAAAAAAAAAUAAUCCUCCCUCCUCCUUGCAUUUCUAAUAAUUUCUAUCAUGCCCUGGAAGCAUAUGUGACAACACUGCUAGGGUGAGAGUCCUACAGACAGCUGAGCAGAAAGCUGCGUGCCAAGCACACACCCGUCUGGGGGGAAGGAAGAACUACGAUGGCAGAAGUGAUCCUGGGCAUUCGACACAUUCUCCCAAUUCCUGAUCAUGCAUCUUCUCUUCUGGAGUGAUUUUUCCCUAACAUGGCACCAAACCCAAAGGGGUUGUCCCGUUGACUGAUGAGAACGAAGAGACCUCCUCUUGUCCCUGCACGGCUCAGUUUCCCUGCAUCUGUCUUUACAGAGAGGGAGGGAUGCUCCCCAGCUCCCUCAGUAAGGUGGUCCUUGCUGCCUUGUCAACACUUCUAGGCACUAAAACCUGUGCACCUUUCAUUUGUGCUCAGGAAAAACAGUUGAGUUCAGUUUGGGUCUGUGAUUCCUGUAGGGAAUCCAGCUGGGAACCCGCCAGGGGCUCAUCCCAGUGCUUAAAGACAAAGGAAGCUCUUUCAGCUUUGGCUACAAUGCAACACCGAGAGCCGCAGGCACCCGUACACGGAGGUUACUUCUGCUCACACCUCUUAUUGAAAAUAAUCAGGUUUCAUUUAUCCUGGAGCUCUACAAGUAACUACACAACUAGAAAUGGUGGUGACAUACCCUGAGAAGGUGGAGCCAAAGCGUUUGGGAGAGAAGACAAUUGUCUGGUCUCAGAAGCAUUUGAUGAUUACUGUUGUAACCAGAAAAAUCACUAAGGAUGAUUGCUGCUUGCCACAUUCCUGUGCUGCCAGGAAGAUCCUGAAAAAGCUCCAAUUUCCACUGGAAUUUACAGUUCAUUUAUUUUUGAAGUGAAGACAUCAGAAGCACUCCUCAGCUUUCUCUUCUCUUUAUGUCCCGUUCCCCUCCUGCUUCCCAGGUUCCAAAGCUUAUCUGUGAAAUCCAGAUGCUGUGAGAGGAAAUACGUACCUAGGGAAGCAAAGGGUCCCUUGCCAGUCACUGGGACCCUCAGCAUCAUGGCUGGAUUGAAACUGAGAGCCUUUCUGAAGGAUUGGUCCAGGCUCAGCCCAAGUCACGGGCUUGAUGCCAUAAUCCCUCCAUGAAAGGGUUAUGCAAAGGGUCAGAAUAGGUGAUGAUAAAAUUCCCUUCCAGCCAAAACAAUCUCCGAACCUCCAAGGAAAUCCACCAUCCUCUGGCAAGAGCCAGGACCAGACUUUCUGAAGUGCAACAAUGUCUGGCUCCAGCACCACGGGGACAGCGCCUCUGAAGGGCCAUGAAACCAUCUCUGCUGCUUGGGAGGUUCGACGAGCUGCGUUGGCACGGCCUGCCAGCUGCAGACCACAAGACUGGAGCGCUGGGAACGAAACCAGAGCAGAUACGCUCGGAACGGCUUUAAAGUGAAUGUUACAGUGCUAAAAAAGAAGUAGUGAAAUGUAACGAAAGCGAAUUCAGAGAUCUUUGCACAUUCUAGAAAGGCGUUGUGCAACCCAGCCCGCUUGGCAGGCCCGCGGUGGGAAUGGCAGGAGCUGCUGCAAGUUAGGGCCCAGGUACCUGAGCAGAGCUGUGUGGGAGGCAAGGUCCGCAGUUGCAGGAGCGCAGCAGCUUCAGAGAGAGCGGGAGCUGACAGAGAUUAACGAAGGGAGCUCAGGCAGUAUCUGUCUGUAGGAGGCCUGGCUCGGUCCAAGGCCAUUAACUUGUUGCUCUCUGAGCACCACCAACAGGACUGGAAAACAAAAACACGUCUCCUCAGCGUGGUUCACGUCCAGCGACUGCUUCAAGACUGCAGCAGAACGAGGAGCACUGAGAAAGGCACAGAGCCACUGCGAUGGCUGCAGGCUCGCAGGGCUGCAAGUUUUUGCAUGAAGCCCAAGUCAAAACCAGGCAGACAACUGGGACGGAGCCUUCAAAGUAGAAACAAAUAAAUUACUAGUCUUCAUUUUCUCCCAUUCGGGAGUUUGAACUUAAAGAAGAGUCCAUCAGCUUUAAAUAAAUCAUGUUUAUAAUUAAAAACACAUUUUCUUGUGCUGCUUACAAGCCCUUGGAUGAUUAAUAAGGCAUUUUUCGAAUUACUUUAAUUCACACUAAUUACGCUGCUUGCUUACCCAGUCAAUAGUUCUCCUUCCACGGAGAUAAAGCUAUCCCAGGAGGAGGUCUCCCUUCAGGGACCAGGAGGGAAAAGACCCCAGAGAACUGCCUAAGGCACCAGCAACAUACGGGAGGUCUUUCACAGAAAGCUACAGAGCUGGUUACAUGAGUCACGUCGUGUUCAACGCUCACAGGACUGCUUUUGCUAAGCCUGACUCUUUGCUGGAUAAGAUGAGGUUGCUCAGUUCCUGGGGGCCUUGAGCAGAGGUACCAACCUCGCAGGGGGGCAGACUUUGCAGGCCUGGCAUGGAAACACAAGGGGCUAUGCACCUUCUGGGUUGGGUCAGGCCUGUGCCCAGCAGAGCUAAAUAUAUUAGGAGCAAGCGGGAGAGAUGGAAGGAGAACGUAAGACCCUCGUGAACAUUUUCUUUCUUCCCCUGCCUUCAGCAUUACAGUUUCCCUCAGCAUUUCAAGCCCACAGGCUGACUGGCAGGAUUUGGAGCCAAGGAACACAUGUUCCUCCAAGUGCUGGUGCAUCCGUGUUUUGCCCCCUGCACCCUAGUGAAGAUGCAUCAAGGGCAGGUCAGUAGCAGGGUAUGACUUUUGAGCUGCCUUGACAAAAAAGGACAGGAAG